rnacentral:rRNA from 1 species
CCUACGGGCUGCAGCAGUGGGGAAUAUUGGACAAUGGGCGAAAGCCUGAUCCAGCAAUGCCGCGUGUGUGAAGAAGGUCUUCGGAUUGUAAAGCACUUUCGACGGGGACGAUGAUGACGGUACCCGUAGAAGAAGCCCCGGCUAACUUCGUGCCAGCAGCCGCGGUAAUACGAAGGGGGCUAGCGUUGUUCGGAAUUACUGGGCGUAAAGCGCGCGUAGGCGGAUAGAUAAGUCAGAGGUGAAAUCCCGGGGCUCAACCCCGGAAUUGCCUUUGAUACUGUUUAUCUUGAGUGCAGAAGAGGUAAGUGGAAUUCCGAGUGUAGAGGUGAAAUUCGUAGAUAUAUGGAAGAACACCAGUGGCGAAGGCGGCUUACUGGACUGUAACUGACGUUGAGGCUCGAAAGUGUGGGUAGCAAACAGGAUUAGAUACCCCGGUAGUC